rnacentral:rRNA from 1 species
GGGGACCCCUAUCGGGCUCGGACUAAGCCAUGCGAGUCGGCUGGGGGCCCUUGCCCCUGGCGGCGCACGGCUCAGUAAUACACGGUCAACCUGCCCUGGGGACCGGGAUAACCUCGGGAAACUGAGGCUAAUCCCGGAUAGGGGUGGAUUCCUGGAAUGGGUCCACCCCCAAAGUAGGCGGGGGAAUGGCCCCGCUGAGGCCCCAGGAUGGGACCGUGGCCCAUCAGGUAGUAGGUGGGGUAACGGCCCACCUAGCCUAAGACGGGUGCGGGCGGUGGGAGCCGGAGCCCGGAGAUGGGCACUGAGACAAGGGCCUAGGCCCUACGGGGCGCAGCAGGCUCGAAACUUCCCCAAUGCGCGCAAGCGUGAGGGAGUGAGCCCGAGUGCCGCCCGCUGAGGGCGGCUGUUCCCGGGUGUAAACAGCCCGGGGUUAGGAAGGGGAGGGUAAGGCUGGUGCCAGCCGCCGCGGUAAAACCAGCUCCUCGAGGGGUCCCCACGCAUACUGGGCCUAAAGCGUCCGUAGCCGGCCCCGUAAGUCCCCGGUUAAAUCCACCGGAAGACCGGUGGGCCGCCGGGGAUACUGCGGGGCUAGGGAGCGGGAGGGGCCGAGGGUAUUCCGGGGGAUAGCGGUAAAAUGCGUAGAUCCCCGGAGGACCACCAGUGGCGAAGGCGCUCGGCUGGAACGCGUCCGACGGUGAGGGACGAAAGCUGGGGGAGCAAACCGGAUUAGAUACCCGGGUAGUCCCAGCCGUAAACGAUGCCGGCUAGGUGCCGGCCGAGGUUUCGGCCUCGGCCGGUGUCGAAGCGAAGGCGUUAAGCCGGCCGCCUGAGGAGUACGGCCGCAAGGCUGAAACUUGAAGGAAUUGACGGGGGGGCACCACAAGGGGUGAAUGCCUGCGGCUC